GUGGGUGUAGCUCAAUCGGUAGAGCGCCGCUCUGUGGCAGCGGAGGCAGCGGGUUCAAAACCCGUCACCCACCCCA
rnacentral:tRNA from 6 species